CUUCUGGCUGAGAACAGCAGGGGAAUCCAGUUCUGCCACCUUCCCAGCAUGCAUCACCAGCACUCGGUCAGAGUCCAGGAUCGUGUUCAGCCUAGCAAGAAGAAACAGGGCAGUGUGAUAAGUCCAGGAAAUUGGUUCAGGAGAUUUCUAGAACUGAGAACUUUGAUGGAAGCCUAGUUCAGAACUUGGAAAAGCAUGAAUGGUGCCAUAGGCAAAAAGGAAGGCCCGCAGGAUCGUGAAGACAGAAUUUGCCCCAGCAAUGGAACC